ensembl:misc_RNA 7SK 7SK RNA
GGAUGUUAGAGCAAUCUGACAGUGACAUCUGUCACUCCAUUUAUGCCAGAUUUGAUUUGAGGUACUUGGCUGGUGAAGUGUCCAGUGAUUCCCUCACUGUUCCAUAUUUGUCAUCCUGCCAUAAGGAUUGGCUACAUCUUUAGGACGUCACCCAAGUCAAAGAGGGGAAUACUGCAAGGUAGAAGAGGACCACAAUGCAGUCCCAGCCACAGAAUUACUUGAACACUCCAGCUAGGAUCUGAAAACAGAUCCACAGGUUUCAUAUGGAAAUGCCAAUUUCAGU